rnacentral:rRNA from 1 species
GACGAACGCUGGCGGCGCGCUUAACACAUGCAAGUCGAGCGAGAACCAUGGCUUCGGCCAUGGGGACAGCGGCGAACGGGUGAGUAACACGUGGGUAAUCUGCCCUCGGCACUGGGAUAGCCCGGGGAAACCCGGAUUAAUACCGGAUAGCCUUUCGAGCUCUUGGGCUCGUCAGAAAAGGUAGCUUCGGCCUCCGGCCGAGGAGGAGCCCGCGGCGGAUUAGCUUGUUGGUGAGGUAAAGGCUCACCAAGGCGACGAUCCGUAGCUGGUGUGAGAGCAUGACCAGCCACACUGGGACUGAGACACGGCCCAGACUCCUACGGGAGGCAGCAGUGGGGAAUCUUGCGCAAUGGGCGAAAGCCUGACGCAGCGACGCCGCGUGCGGGAAGAAGGCCUUCGGGUUGUAAACCGCUUUCAGGAGGGACGAAGCCACUCGGGUGAAUAGCCCAGAGGGUGACGGUACCUCCAGAAGAAGCCCCGGCUAACUACGUGCCAGCAGCCGCAGUAACAC